rfam:Candidatus Roizmanbacteria bacterium RIFCSPLOWO2_01_FTLL_38_11 rifcsplowo2_01_scaffold_3734, whole genome shotgun sequence.
GGCCUGGUAGCUCAAUGGUAGAGCAGCGGCCUUUUAAGCCGUUGGUUGAGGGUUCGAGUCCCUCCCGGGUCA